rnacentral:piRNA from 1 species
UAUCAAAGUAUCACAUCAAUU